AGUUCUGUGCCCUCAGGAUCCAGCGUGGGACUCGUGAGAACCCUCCAGAGACAGCCACAUUUCGAAGCAAGUGGCACAGGCUUUGCAGAAGGCACACUGGGCCCCUCUCAAAACUCAAGCAGCAAAGAUGAUGAGAGAGCUGCAGACUUCGGGGCGUGGAGGAUGGGACUAAGCCGCAGAGUGCCUUGUCUAACAUGUUUUAGGAAGCACCCUUCUCUUUCCCGACUCACAUGGGGCAGCUAUAAUAAUUCAGCUUCACGUGGCUGAAUUAUUUUCUGUUUUCACUUGGUUCUUUUUUUCUUCUCCUUUAAGAAAAAAAAAGUCCAAAUAGGCUUUGGGCCACACUGGACUACCUAGUAAGGGGGAUAGAUGAUCUAGAUGAUUUGAGAGCUGGUUUUCUGAAAAGCCAGGGAGCUCUGGUCUUGAGAAGACUCAGUAGCCAGGAAGCUGAGGAACACACACACACACACA
rnacentral:lncRNA from 1 species